CCUACGGGGGGCAGCAGUGAGGAAUAUUGGUCAAUGGGCGAGAGCCUGAACCAGCCAAGUCGCGUGAAGGAUGACGGCCCUACGGGUUGUAAACUUCUUUUGUCAGGGAGCAAUUGAGUCCACGUGUGGGCUUAGCGAGAGUACCUGAAGAAAAAGCAUCGGCUAACUCCGUGCCAGCAGCCGCGGUAAUACGGAGGAUGCGAGCGUUAUCCGGAUUUAUUGGGUUUAAAGGGUGCGCAGGCGGCGUGUCAAGCAAGCGGUAAAAUAGCGGGGCUCAACCCCGUCGAGCCGUUUGAACUGGCGCG
rnacentral:rRNA from 1 species